rnacentral:rRNA from 1 species
AGUGAACGCUGGCGGCAGGCCUAACACAUGCAAGUCGAACGGCAGCACAGUAAGAGCUUGCUCUUAUGGGUGGCGAGUGGCGGACGGGUGAGGAAUACAUCGGAAUCUACUCUUUCGUGGGGGAUAACGUAGGGAAACUUACGCUAAUACCGCAUACGACCUACGGGUGAAAGCGGAGGACCUUCGGGCUUCGCGCGAUUGAAUGAGCCGAUGUCGGAUUAGCUAGUUGGCGGGGUAAAGGCCCACCAAGGCGACGAUCCGUAGCUGGUCUGAGAGGAUGAUCAGCCAGACUGGAACUGAGACACGGUCCAGACUCCUACGGGAGGCAGCAGUGGGGAAUAUUGGACAAUGGGCGAAAGCCUGAUCCAGCCAUGCCGCGUGGGUGAAGAAGGCCUUCGGGUUGUAAAGCCCUUUUGUUGGGAAAGAAAAGCAGUCGGUUAAUACCCGAUUGUUCUGACGGUACCCAAAGAAUAAGCACCGGCUAACUUCGUGCCAGCCGCCGCGGUAACAC